UCUUAUCUUCUUAAAAGGUGGUACAUGGCUGGCAAUUCCACCUCUCUCACUCUUCUUCCAACGGUAACAAAAGAAAAAUAAAAUAAAAAGGAAAAAGGACAGACUCUCCAAAAACAUACUCUUCCUCUCAAAACGCUGCUAGCAAAAAGAAAAAUGAAAAAAGACUCUCUCCAGCUUAUCUCUCUCACUAAAAAACAAAAGAAAAGGAUAAGGCCACCACUCACUCUCUCAUAAGACUCUAUUUUGCAACAAUAAGGAAAAAAAAGGGGGAAACGAAAU
rnacentral:lncRNA from 1 species